rnacentral:rRNA from 1 species
AUCGGUGACAGGUGGUGCAUGGUUGUCGUCAGCUCGUGUCGUGAGAUGUUGGGUUAAGUCCGCAACGAGCGCAACCCCUAUUGUUAGUUGCCAUCAUUCAGUUGGGGCACUCUAGCGAGACUGCCGGUAAUAAACCGGAGGAAGGUGGGGGAUGACGUCAAAUCAUCAUGCCCCUUAUGACCUGGGCUACACACGUGCUACAAUGGUUGGUACAACGAGUUGCGAGUCGGUGACGGCGAGCUAAUCUCUUAAAGCCAAUCUCAGUUCGGAUUGUAGGCUGCAACUCGCCUACAUGAAGUCGGAAUCGCUAGUAAUCGCGGAUCAGCACGCCGCGGUGAAUACGUUCCCGGGCCUU